rnacentral:rRNA from 1 species
CGUUUGACCUCGGAUCAGGUAGGGAUACCCGCUGAACUUAAGCAUAUCAAUAAGCGGAGGAAAAGAAACCAACAGGGAUUGCCCUAGUGACGGCGAGUGAAGCGGCAACAGCUCAAAUUUGAAAUCUGGCUCUUUUAGAGUCCGAGUUGUAAUUUGCAGAGGGCGCUUUGGCUUUGGCAGCGGUCCAAGUUCCUUGGAACAGGACGUCACAGAGGGUGAGAAUCCCGUACGUGGUCGCUAGCUAUUGCCGUGUAAAGCCCCUUCGACGAGUCGAGUUGUUUGGGAAUGCAGCUCUAAAUGGGAGGUAAAUUUCUUCUAAAGCUAAAUAUUGGCCAGAGACCGAUAGCGCACAAGUAGAGUGAUCGAAAGAUGAAAAGCACUUUGGAAAGAGAGUCAAACAGCACGUGAAAUUGUUGAAAGGGAAGCGCUUGCAGCCAGACUUGCUUGCAGUUGCUCAUCCGGGCUUUUGCCCGGUGCACUCUUCUGCAGGCAGGCCAGCAUCAGUUUGGGCGGUGGGAUAAAGGUCUCUGACACGUUCCUUCCUUCGGGUUGGCCAUAUAGGGGAGACGUCAUACCACCAGCCUGGACUGAGGUCCGCGCAUCUGCUAGGAUGCUGGCGUAAUGGCUGUAAGCGGCCCGUCUUGAAACACGGACCAAGGAGUCUAACAUCUAUGCGAGUGUUUGGGUGUCAAGCCCGAGCGCGUAAUGAAAGUGAACGGAGGUGGGAACCCGCAAGGGUGCACCAUCGACCGAUCCUGAAGUUUACGGAAGGAUUUGAGUAAGAGCAUGGCUGUUGGGACCCGAAAGAUGGUGAACUAUGCUUGAAUAGGGUGAAGCCAGAGGAAACUCUGGUGGAGGCUCGCAGCGGUUCUGACGUGCAAAUCGAUCGUCAAAUUUGGGCAUAGGGGCGAAAGACUAAUCGAACUAUCUAGU